CGCGGGUGUCCAUUUGCAGAAUGGGUGAAAAGGGAAUCCGGUGAAAAUCCGGAGCGAUGCCGUCACUGUGAACCGGAGCGCCGCCUGAGCAUCACUGGCAGGGGAAACGAUCCUGCCGGGAAGAGGGGCGGCGCAAAGAAGGGAGCCAGGAGACCUGCCCGUGCGU
rnacentral:ncRNA from 1 species